GUGGGGAAUAUUGGACAAUGGGGGGAACCCUGAUCCAGCCAUGCCGCGUGUGUGAAGAAGGCCUUUUGGUUGUAAAGCACUUUAAGCGAGGAGGAGGCUACCGAGAUUAAUACUCUUGGAUAGUGGACGUUACUCGCAGAAUAAGCACCGGCUAACUCUGUGCCAGCAGCCGCGGUAAUACAGAGGGUGCAAGCGUUAAUCGGAUUUACUGGGCGUAAAGCGCGCGUAGGUGGCCAAUUAAGUCAAAUGUGAAAUCCCCGAGCUUAACUUGGGAAUUGCAUUCGAUACUGGUUAGCUAGAGUAUGGGAGAGGAUGGUAGAAUUCCAGGUGUAGCGGUGAAAUGCGUAGAGAUCUGGAGGAAUACCGAUGGCGAAGGCAGCCAUCUGGCCUAAUACUGACACUGAGGUGCGAAAGCAUGGGGAGCAAACAGGAUUAGAAACCCGGGUAGUCC
rnacentral:rRNA from 1 species